ncrna:23S ribosomal RNA from Staphylococcus aureus (PDB 5ND9, chain A)
GAUUAAGUUAUUAAGGGCGCACGGUGGAUGCCUUGGCACUAGAAGCCGAUGAAGGACGUUACUAACGACGAUAUGCUUUGGGGAGCUGUAAGUAAGCUUUGAUCCAGAGAUUUCCGAAUGGGGAAACCCAGCAUGAGUUAUGUCAUGUUAUCGAUAUGUGAAUACAUAGCAUAUCAGAAGGCACACCCGGAGAACUGAAACAUCUUAGUACCCGGAGGAAGAGAAAGAAAAUUCGAUUCCCUUAGUAGCGGCGAGCGAAAUGGGAAGAGCCCAAACCAACAAGCUUGCUUGUUGGGGUUGUAGGACACUCUAUACGGAGUUACAAAGGACGACAUUAGACGAAUCAUCUGGAAAGAUGAAUCAAAGAAGGUAAUAAUCCUGUAGUCGAAAAUGUUGUCUCUCUUGAGUGGAUCCUGAGUACGACGGAGCACGUGAAAUUCCGUCGGAAUCUGGGAGGACCAUCUCCUAAGGCUAAAUACUCUCUAGUGACCGAUAGUGAACCAGUACCGUGAGGGAAAGGUGAAAAGCACCCCGGAAGGGGAGUGAAAUAGAACCUGAAACCGUGUGCUUACAAGUAGUCAGAGCCCGUUAAUGGGUGAUGGCGUGCCUUUUGUAGAAUGAACCGGCGAGUUACGAUUUGAUGCAAGGUUAAGCAGUAAAUGUGGAGCCGUAGCGAAAGCGAGUCUGAAUAGGGCGUUUAGUAUUUGGUCGUAGACCCGAAACCAGGUGAUCUACCCUUGGUCAGGUUGAAGUUCAGGUAACACUGAAUGGAGGACCGAACCGACUUACGUUGAAAAGUGAGCGGAUGAACUGAGGGUAGCGGAGAAAUUCCAAUCGAACCUGGAGAUAGCUGGUUCUCUCCGAAAUAGCUUUAGGGCUAGCCUCAAGUGAUGAUUAUUGGAGGUAGAGCACUGUUUGGACGAGGGGCCCCUCUCGGGUUACCGAAUUCAGACAAACUCCGAAUGCCAAUUAAUUUAACUUGGGAGUCAGAACAUGGGUGAUAAGGUCCGUGUUCGAAAGGGAAACAGCCCAGACCACCAGCUAAGGUCCCAAAAUAUAUGUUAAGUGGAAAAGGAUGUGGCGUUGCCCAGACAACUAGGAUGUUGGCUUAGAAGCAGCCAUCAUUUAAAGAGUGCGUAAUAGCUCACUAGUCGAGUGACACUGCGCCGAAAAUGUACCGGGGCUAAACAUAUUACCGAAGCUGUGGAUUGUCCUUUGGACAAUGGUAGGAGAGCGUUCUAAGGGCGUUGAAGCAUGAUCGUAAGGACAUGUGGAGCGCUUAGAAGUGAGAAUGCCGGUGUGAGUCGCGAAAGACGGGUGAGAAUCCCGUCCACCGAUUGACUAAGGUUUCCAGAGGAAGGCUCGUCCGCUCUGGGUUAGUCGGGUCCUAAGCUGAGGCCGACAGGCGUAGGCGAUGGAUAACAGGUUGAUAUUCCUGUACCACCUAUAAUCGUUUUAAUCGAUGGGGGGACGCAGUAGGAUAGGCGAAGCGUGCGAUUGGAUUGCACGUCUAAGCAGUAAGGCUGAGUAUUAGGCAAAUCCGGUACUCGUUAAGGCUGAGCUGUGAUGGGGAGAAGACAUUGAGUCUUCGAGUCGUUGAUUUCACACUGCCGAGAAAAGCCUCUAGAUAGAAAAUAGGUGCCCGUACCGCAAACCGACACAGGUAGUCAAGAUGAGAAUUCUAAGGUGAGCGAGCGAACUCUCGUUAAGGAACUCGGCAAAAUGACCCCGUAACUUCGGGAGAAGGGGUGCUCUUUAGGGUUAACGCCCAGAAGAGCCGCAGUGAAUAGGCCCAAGCGACUGUUUAUCAAAAACACAGGUCUCUGCUAAACCGUAAGGUGAUGUAUAGGGGCUGACGCCUGCCCGGUGCUGGAAGGUUAAGAGGAGUGGUUAGCUUCUGCGAAGCUACGAAUCGAAGCCCCAGUAAACGGCGGCCGUAACUAUAACGGUCCUAAGGUAGCGAAAUUCCUUGUCGGGUAAGUUCCGACCCGCACGAAAGGCGUAACGAUUUGGGCACUGUCUCAACGAGAGACUCGGUGAAAUCAUAGUACCUGUGAAGAUGCAGGUUACCCGCGACAGGACGGAAAGACCCCGUGGAGCUUUACUGUAGCCUGAUAUUGAAAUUCGGCACAGCUUGUACAGGAUAGGUAGGAGCCUUUGAAACGUGAGCGCUAGCUUACGUGGAGGCGCUGGUGGGAUACUACCCUAGCUGUGUUGGCUUUCUAACCCGCACCACUUAUCGUGGUGGGAGACAGUGUCAGGCGGGCAGUUUGACUGGGGCGGUCGCCUCCUAAAAGGUAACGGAGGCGCUCAAAGGUUCCCUCAGAAUGGUUGGAAAUCAUUCAUAGAGUGUAAAGGCAUAAGGGAGCUUGACUGCGAGACCUACAAGUCGAGCAGGGUCGAAAGACGGACUUAGUGAUCCGGUGGUUCCGCAUGGAAGGGCCAUCGCUCAACGGAUAAAAGCUACCCCGGGGAUAACAGGCUUAUCUCCCCCAAGAGUUCACAUCGACGGGGAGGUUUGGCACCUCGAUGUCGGCUCAUCGCAUCCUGGGGCUGUAGUCGGUCCCAAGGGUUGGGCUGUUCGCCCAUUAAAGCGGUACGCGAGCUGGGUUCAGAACGUCGUGAGACAGUUCGGUCCCUAUCCGUCGUGGGCGUAGGAAAUUUGAGAGGAGCUGUCCUUAGUACGAGAGGACCGGGAUGGACAUACCUCUGGUGUACCAGUUGUCGUGCCAACGGCAUAGCUGGGUAGCUAUGUGUGGACGGGAUAAGUGCUGAAAGCAUCUAAGCAUGAAGCCCCCCUCAAGAUGAGAUUUCCCAACUUCGGUUAUAAGAUCCCUCAAAGAUGAUGAGGUUAAUAGGUUCGAGGUGGAAGCAUGGUGACAUGUGGAGCUGACGAAUACUAAUCGAUCGAAGACUUAAUCAA